CCCCCCCUCCCGCCCCCCCCGCCGGGGGUGGAGCCCCCCUCCCCCACCCCGGGACCCCCCCCCGAACCCGCGGCGGCUGCGCAAGAACGACGCCUUGAGCCGCGAGAGCCUCGUGGUGUGAGCGGGACCCCAAAAUCCCCCAAAAUCCCCCCAAAAUCCCCGAAAAUCCCCCCAAAAUUCC